rnacentral:ribozyme from 1 species
CCUAACUGAACUUCGUUCAAACGAAACUCAACAUCGUCCAACCCCAACUAAACAUUUUGUAUCCCAGACGUAUGUACCUGUUCCGCCGUAUAUCCAAGCUUGGGUAAACGGGCCAGUCCCAACCCCUUGGGCGGAUGGUGGAGCACGGCUGAACAGGAGGGG